rnacentral:lncRNA from 1 species
GUCGGCAACACAGAGAUUCCAUUUCUUCCUGGGAUUAGGAAGCACGAAGUGUCCAGAUCUGCUUCUGAAAUCUCUUCCUCCCUUAAGCCAGGGUCAAAGCUGCCUCAUGCAGACGGAGAGGAGAAGCUGCGUUCCCUGCCUUUCCCGAAUUGUUUGUGGACUGUGAGUGAUGCAUGUCCUGUGGCACCAUGGGAGCACCAGGGAACACCAUGCUGUCUCUCCCCGGAGCCCCCACUGGCGUCCUGGCCAUUUCCAGCUUGUCUCCCAAAGACAGGCUUCUUUGUGCUUUGGUCACACGGAGAAUUAUCAGUGCA